rnacentral:sRNA from 1 species
AUAUAAAGAGAUCGAUCAUGAGAAUGAUGAUCCGGAUCCAAAGACAUUAUGUGAAUGCCAAAAAAGGCCAGAUUAGGAGAAAUAGAAAAAUGCCAUUCAAAUUGAGUUGCACUCCCUUCACAAAAGAAAUGUCUUUGGACUUAUUUUCACAGCUUCUGAGAUGUUUUUUGUUGGGCACAAGUGGGUAUUCAUGCGGAAAGAAAUGAGAAAGAUGAGAUCAAACGAUAUAAAGCCCGACUUGUUGCACAAGGUUUCUCUCAAAGGCCAGGAGUUGAAUAUGAAGAAACAUAUCCUUCGGUCAUGGAUGCAACUACA